rnacentral:tRNA from 1 species
GCCUCAUUAGCUCAGUGGUAGAGCUGCGCACUUGUAAUGCGCUGGUCCGGCGUUCGAUCCGUCGAUGGGGCU